UACGGAAGGCAGCAGUGGGGAAUAUUGCACAAUGGGCGCAAGCCUGAUGCAGCCAUGCCGCGUGUACGAAGAAGGCCUUCGGGUUGUAAAGUACUUUCAGUCGUGAGGAAGGUGUUAAGGUUAAUAACCUUAGCAAUUGACGUUAGCGACAGAAGAAGCACCGGCUAACUCCGUGCCAGCAGCCGCGGUAAUACGGAGGGUGCGAGCGUUAAUCGGAAUUACUGGGCGUAAAGGGCACGCAGGCGGUUAAUUAAGUUGGAUGUGAAAUCCCCGGGCUUAACCUGGGAAUGGCAUUCAAGACUGGUUAGCUAGAGUCUUGUAGAGGGGGUAGAAUUCCAUGUGUAGCGGUGAAAUGCGUAGAGAUGUGGAGGAAUACCGGUGGCGAAGGCGGCCCCUGGACAAAGGCUGACGCUCAUGUGCGAAAGCGUGGGGAGCAAACG
rnacentral:rRNA from 1 species